UACGUAGGGACCGAGCGUUGUCCGGAAUCAUUGGGCGUAAAGAGCGUGUAGGCGGCCACUUAAGUCCUGCGUGAAAUCUUGCGGCUCAACCGCAAGCGGUCGUGGGAAACUGGGUGGCUAGAGUGCGGGAGAGGAGAGUGGAAUUCCUGGUGUAGCGGUGGAAUGCGCAGAUAUCAGGAAGAACACCCGUGGCGAAGGCGGCUCCCUGGAACGCAACUGACGCUGAGACGCGAAAGCGUGGGGAGCAAACAGG
rnacentral:rRNA from 1 species